UACGAAGGGGGCUAGCGUUGCUCGGAAUCACUGGGCGUAAAGCGCACGUAGGCGGAUCUUUAAGUCAGGGGUGAAAUUCUGGAGCUCAACUCCAGAACUGCCUUUGAUACUGAGGAUCUCGAGUCCGGGAGAGGUGAGUGGAACUGCGAGUGUAGAGGUGAAAUUCGUAGAUAUUCGCAAGAACACCAGUGGCGAAGGCGGCUCACUGGCCCGGUACUGACGCUGAGGCGCGACAGCGUGGGGAGCAAACAGG
rnacentral:rRNA from 1 species